UCCUACGGGAGGCAGCAGUGGGGAAUAUUGGACAAUGGGCGCAAGCCUGAUCCAGCCAUGCCGCGUGAGUGAAGAAGGCCUUCGGGUUGUAAAGCUCUUUCGGCGGGGAAGAUGAUGACGGUACCCGCAGAAGAAGCCCCGGCUAACUCCGUGCCAGCAGCCGCGGUAAUACGGAGGGGGCUAGCGUUGUUCGGAAUUACUGGGCGUAAAGGGCGCGUAGGCGGUGCGGUAAGUUAGGCGUGAAAAGCCCGGGCUCAACCCGGGAACUGCGCUUAAUACUGCCCCGCUUUGAGUCCGAGAGAGGAUAGCGGAAUUCCCAGUGUAGAGGUGAAAUUCGUAGAUAUUGGGAAGAACACCAGUGGCGAAGGCGGCUAUCUGGCCCGGUACUGACGCUGAGGCGCGAAAGCGUGGGGAGCAAACAGGAUUAGAUACCCUGGUAG
rnacentral:rRNA from 1 species